UGAGUAACGCGUGGGAAUCUACCUUUUGCUACGGAAUAACGCAGGGAAACUUGUGCUAAUACCGUAUGUGUCCUUCGGGAGAAAGAUUUAUCGGCAAGAGAUGAGCCCGCGUUGGAUUAGCUAGUUGGUGGGGUAAAGGCCUACCAAGGCGACGAUCCAUAGCUGGUCUGAGAGGAUGAUCAGCCACAUUGGGACUGAGACACGGCCCAAACUCCUACGGGAGGCAGCAGUGGGGAAUAUUGGACAAUGGGCGCAAGCCUGAUCCAGCCAUGCCGCGUGAGUGAUGAAGGCCCUAGGGUUGUAAAGCUCUUUCACCGGAGAAGAUAAUGACGGUAUCCGGAGAAGAAGCCCCGGCUAACUUCGUGCCAGCAGCCGCGGUAAUACGAAGGGGGCUAGCGUUGUUCGGAAUUACUGGGCGUAAAGCGCACGUAGGCGGAUCGAUCAGUCAGGGGUGAAAUCCCAGGGCUCAACCCUGGAACUGCCUUUGAUACUGUCGAUCUGGAGUAUGGAAGAGGUGAGUGGAAUUCCGAGUGUAGAGGUGAAAUUCGUAGAUAUUCGGAGGACACCAGUGGCGAAGGCGGCUCACUGGUCCAUUACUGACGCUGAGUGCGAAGCGUGGGGGAGCAAACAGGAUAGAUACCCUGUAGUCCACGCCGUAACGAUGAUGUAGCCGUCGGGCAGUAUACUGUCGGUGGCGCAGCUAC
rnacentral:rRNA from 1 species